GUUAAAAAGGGCACGUUAAAUACAAACGCUAAAAAUAACAACAAACUCGCAUUUGCCGCUUAAUUAAGCAGGCCCGCGCGUCGGCCUUAGUUCACCUGCAGACUGAGGAUCCGGCGUCGAUCAUGCAGGAAAACUCUGUGCGUGAUCCCGGCCGCACAGGGGAAUUACGGGAUAACGGAAUGUCAGGCUGUCUCUGGCCCCGGCAGGAAGCGAAAAUCUAAUCAGAGAAUGCGCUCGGAGAAAUUCUUGCGGAAAUGUUUUUGGACACGGGUUCGACUCCCGUCAUCUCCACCA
rnacentral:tmRNA from 1 species